CUUUGACACACAGCAGCAUCUCGCUAGUAAUGUGGGGACAUUCUGUCAGGACUGUUUAAUUACAACUGUUACUUUCUGGCCUAACUGUGAUCUAUACAGGUGAAUGUUAUGUGUUUAGUCUGGUAAUGUGGGGACAUUCAGUGAUGGUUUCACAACAACUGUUACAAUCUCUGAUGUAUACAGGAGAAUGUUACCAUACCAUCUUCUUCCGCUUAUCCGGGGCCGGGUCGCGGGGGCAGCAGUCUAAGCAGGGAGAAUGUUACUUUUGAUUUGUAUAUUCGGUAUUUCUACACUAUAUUAUGCACUACAUGGGGUUGUGAUUGAUAAGACCGAGCGCACAACACCAGACACAAGCAACUAAACUCAAGGGUGUUUAAUGAGGGUAACAGGACUGAGGUAAGGCUGGAGGGAUGAGGGCUGGGCUGGUAGGUGUGGUAGGCUGGAGGGAUGAGGGCUGGGCUGGUAGGUGUGGUAGGCUGGAGGGAUGAGGGCUGGGCUGGUAGGUGUGGUAGGCAGUAGGGGUAAGGGCUGGGCUGGUAGGUGGGGAAGGCUGUAGGGGUGAGGGCUGGUAGGUGUGGUAGGCUGGAGGGGUGAGGGCUGGGCUGGUAGGCUGUAGGGGUGAGGGCUGGGCUGGUAGGCUGUAGAGGUGAGGGCUGGUAGGUGUGGUAGGCAGUAGGGGUGAGGGCUGGGCUGGUAGGCUGGAGGGGUGAGGGCUGGGCUGGUAGGCUGUAGGGGUGAGGGCUGGUAGGUGUGGUAGGCUGGAGGGUUGAGGGCUGGUAGGUGUGGUAGGCUGGAGGGGUGAGGGCUGGGCUGGUAGGCUUUAGGGGUGAGGGCUGGUAGGUGUGGUAGGCAGUAGGGGUGAGGGCUGGGCUGGUAGGCUGGAGGGGUGAGGGCUGGGCUGGUAGGCUGUAAAGGUGAGGGCUGGUAGGUGUGGUAGGCUGUAGGGGUGAGGACUGGGCUGGUAGGCGGGGUAAGCUGGAGGGGUGAGGGCUGGACGGAUGAGGGGAUGAACCACAGGUGUGGAGACUUGAGGAGGAGUAGUGGAGAUCUGGAGAAAACCAAAAACUGGAUCACAGGAGCCUGGAGCCGGCGCACACACAGACACAAACAGGAGAGAGGGAGGGCCUGGCACGGAGGUGGAUUUGGAGGGCGUUCCAAGGACCAUGUCGUCACGGUGACAGGGCUCAGUUCUGAGUGCGGGGCACAGUUGCAUUGGUGGGGCUCAGUCGCUGGGGCGUGGCCUGCUCAGUCACGUGACAGGGCCGGCUUAGUCGCUGGGGCGUGGCCAGCUCAGUCAUGGUGACAGGGCCGGCUUAGUCGCUGGGGCGUGGCCAGCUCAGUCGCAGGGGCGGCUCAGUCGCGGUGGCAAGGCCGGCUCAGUUGCGGGGGCGGGGCACAGUCGCGGGGGCGGAGAUCAGUCACGGGGUCGGGGCUCAGUCG
ensembl:lncRNA